rnacentral:rRNA from 1 species
UAAAUCUUAGUGGCGGACGGGUGAGUAACGCGUGGGUAACCUGCCUUACACUGGGGGAUAACACUUAGAAAUAGGUGCUAAUACCGCAUAAGCGCACGAAGCCGCAUGGAUUUGUGUGAAAAACUCCGGUGGUGUAAGAUGGACCCGCGUCUGAUUAGCUUGUUGGCGGGGUAACGGCCCACCAAGGCGACGAUCAGUAGCCGGCCUGAGAGGGUGGACGGCCACAUUGGGACUGAGACACGGCCCAAACUCCUACGGAAGGCAGCAG